GUGGGGAAUAUUGGACAAUGGGCGAAAGCCUGAUCCAGCCAUGCCGCGUGAGUGAUGAAGGCCUUAGGGUUGUAAAGCUCUUUUGUCCGGGAAGAUAAUGACUGUACCGGAAGAAUAAGCCCCGGCUAACUUCGUGCCAGCAGCCGCGGUAAUACGAAGGGGGCUAGCGUUGCUCGGAAUCACUGGGCGUAAAGGGCGCGUAGGCGGACUUUUAAGUCGGAGGUGAAAGCCCAGGGCUCAACCCUGGAAUUGCCUUCGAUACUGGGAGUCUUGAGUUCGGAAGAGGUUGGUGGAACUGCGAGUGUAGAGGUGAAAUUCGUAGAUAUUCGCAAGAACACCGGUGGCGAAGGCGGCCAACUGGUCCGAAACUGACGCUGAGGCGCGAAAGCGUGGGGAGCAAACAGGAUUAGAAACCCUAGUAGUCC
rnacentral:rRNA from 1 species